rnacentral:miRNA from 1 species
ACAAUUGUAUGAGUUGAGUACA